AGGUUGGCUCAGAAGCAGCCAUCCUUUAAAGAGUGCGUAACAGCUCACUAGUCGAGUGACCCUGCGCCGAAAAUGUACCGGGGCUAAGCCUGAUACCGAAACUGCGGAUUGUAGGAAACUAUAGUGGUAGGGGAGCGUUGUAUACGAGUAGAAGCCGUACCGUGAGGAGCGGUGGAUUGUAUAGAAGUGAGAAUGCCGGUGUGAGUAGCGAGAUGUAGGUGAGAAUCCUACACACCGAAAGCCCAAGGAUUCCAGGGGAAGGUUCGUCCGCCCUGGGUAAGUCGGGACCUAACGCGAGGCCGAAAGGCGUAGUGGAUGGAAAGCAGGCGAAAGAUUCCUGCACCCGUAUAUGGAGCGAAGGAGUGACGGAGACGGAUAGUGUGACCCUCUUAAUGGAUUGAGGGCGAAGCGAAGCGGCUGGUUACCAGGCAAAUCCGGUAACUGAAAGGCUAGAGCGUGACAGGCAAGCGAAAUCUUAGGAAAGUAGCGAAGCACAUGAUGACGGCUUCCAGGAAAAGCUUCUGGCAAUGCAUAUGCGGCCCGUACCAAAACCGACACAGGUGGGCAGGGAGAGAAUCCCGAGGUGAGCGAGAGAACUGUUGCCAAGGAACUCGGCAAAAUGACUCCGUAAGUUAGCGAGAAGGAGUGCUUAAGCAAUUAAGCCGCAGUGAAGAGGCCCAAGCGACUGUUUAACUAAAACACAGCUCUCUGCGAAGUCGCAAGACGAAGUAUAGGGGGUGACACCUGCCCGGUGCUGGAAGGUUAAGAGGAUCUGUUAAGAGCGAUCUGAAGCAGUGAUCCGAAGCCCCAGUGAACGGCGGCCGUAACUAUAACGGUCCUAAGGUAGCGAAAUUCCUUGUCAGGUAAGUUCUGACCCGCACGAAAGGUGUAACGAUUUGGGCGCUGUCUCGGCAGCAGACUCGGUGAAAUCUUAGUACCUGUGAAAAUGCAGGUUACCCGCAACUAGACGGAAAGACCCCAUGGAGCUUUACUGCAGCCUGAUAUUGAAUUCUGGUCAUACAUGUACAGGAUAGGUGGGAGACAAAGAGACGUGCACGCCAGUGUACGAGGAGUCGGCGUUGGGAUACCACUCUUGUGUGACCGGGGUUCUAACCUGGUAUCGAGAACAGGUACGGGGAGAGUGUCAGGUGGGCAGUUUGACUGGGGCGGUCGCCUCCCAAAGAGUAACGGAGGCGCCCAAAGGUACGCUCAGAUUGGAUGGAAACCAAUCGACGAGUGCAAUUGCAGAAGCGUGCUUGACUGUGAGACUUACAAGUCGAACAGGGACGAAAGUCGGGAAUAGUGAUCCGGCGGUGCCGAAUGGAAGGGCCGUCGCUCAACGGAUAAAAGCUACCCUGGGGAUAACAGGCUGAUCUCGCCCAAGAGUUCACAUCGACGGCGAGGUUUGGCACCUCGAUGUCGGCUCAUCGCAUCCUGGAGCUGGAUUCGGUUCCAAGGGUUGGGCUGUCCGCCCAUUAAAGCGGUACGCGAGCUGGGUUCAGAACGUCGUGAGACAGUUCGGUCCCUAUCUGUUGUGGGCGAAGGAGAUCUGCGGAGAGCUGUCCUCAGUACGAGAGGACCGGGAUGGACCUACCGCUGGUGCACCGGUUGUUCCGCCAGGGGCAUAGCCGGGUAGCUAAGUAGGGAAAGGAUAAGCGCUGAAAGCAUCUAAGCACGAAGCCUACUCCAAGAUGAGAUCUCCCAUUCGCAAGAAGUAAGACCCCUUAAAGACGAUAAGGUAGAUAGGCCAGGGAUGGAAGUGCAGUGAUGUACGGAGUUGACUGGUACUAAUCGGUCGAGGACUUAAUC
rnacentral:rRNA from 1 species